rnacentral:rRNA from 1 species
AUUGAACGCUGGCGGCCGGCCUAACACAUGCUAGUCGAACGAGUGGCGGACGGGUGAGUCAUGCCUGGGAAACUGCCUGUUGGAGGGGGAUAACUACUGGAAACGGUAGCUAAUACCGCAUACCAUCAGAUGUGCCCAGAUGGGAUUAGCUAGUUGGUGGGGUAACGGCUCACCAAGGCGACGAUCCCUAGCUGGUCUGAGAGGAUGACCAGCCACACUGGAACUGAGACAUGGUCCAGAGGCCUACGGGAGGCAGCAGUGGGGAAUAUUGCACAAUGGGCGCAAGCCUAAUGCAGCAAUGCCGCGUGUAUGAAGAAGGCCUUCGGGUUGUAAAGUACUUUCAGCGGGGAGGCGUUACCCGCAGAAGAAGCACCGGCUAACUCCGAGCCAGCAGCCGCGGUAAUUC